rnacentral:tRNA from 1 species
UUGGGCUGUAGCUCAGUGGUAGAGCACUUGCCUAGCAUGCCAGAGGCCCUUGGUUCCAUCUCUAGGAAAAAG